AUUGAACGCUGGCGGCAGGCCUAACACAUGCAAGUCGAACGGUAACAGGAAUCAGCUUGCUGAUUUGCUGACGAGUGGCGGACGGGUGAGUAAUGUCUGGGAAACUGCCUGAUGGAGGGGGAUAACUACUGGAAACGGUAGCUAAUACCGCAUAACGUCGCAAGACCAAAGAGGGGGACCUUCGGGCCUCUUGCCAUCGGAUGUGCCCAGAUGGGAUUAGCUAGUAGGUGGGGUAAAGGCUCACCUAGGCGACGAUCCCUAGCUGGUCUGAGAGGAUGACCAGCCACACUGGAACUGAGACACGGUCCAGACUCCUACGGGAGGCAGCAGUGGGGAAUAUUGCACAAUGGGCGCAAGCCUGAUGCAGCCAUGCCGCGUGUAUGAAGAAGGCCUUCUGGUUGUAAAGUACUUUCAGCGGGGAGGAAGGGAGUAAAGUUAAUACCUUUGCUCAUUGACGUUACCCGCAGAAGAAGCACCGGCUAACUCCGUG
rnacentral:rRNA from 1 species